AAACCAGCACCUCAAGUGGUCAGGAUGAUUAUUGGGCCUAAAGCAUCCGUAGCCUGCUCUGUAAGUUUUCGGUUAAAUCUGUACGCUCAACGUACAGGCUGCCGGGAAUACUGCAGAGCUAGGGAGUGGGAGAGGUAGACGGUACUCGGGAGGAAGUGGUAAAAUGCUUUGAUCUCUCGAUGACCACCUGUGGCGAAGGCGGUCUACCAGAACACGUCCGACGGUGAGGGAUGAAAGCUGGGGGAGCAAACCGGAUUAGAAACCCGUGUAGUCC
rnacentral:rRNA from 1 species